CCUACGGGAGGCAGCAGUGGGGAAUCUUGCGCAAUGGGCGAAAGCCUGACGCAGCCAUGCCGCGUGGAUGAUGAAGGUCUUAGGAUUGUAAAAUCCUUUCACCGGUGAAGAUGAUGACUGUAGCCGGAGAAGAGGCCCCGGCUAACUUCGUGCCAGCAGCCGCGGUAAUACGAAGGGGGCUAGCGUUGCUCGGAAUUACUGGGCGUAAAGGGAGCGUAGGCGGACAUUUAAGUCAGAGGUGAAAUCCCGGAGCUUAACUUCGGAACUGCCUUUGAUACUGGGUGUCUUGAGUGUGAGAGAGGUAUGUGGAACUCCGAGUGUAGAGGUGAAAUUCGUAGAUAUUCGGAAGAACACCAGUGGCGAAGGCGACAUACUGGCUCAUUACUGACGCUGAGGCUCGAAAGCGUGGGGAGCAAACAGGAUUAGAUACCCUGGUAGUCCACGCCGUAAACGAUGAUUGCUAGUUGUCGGGAAGCUUGCUUCUCGGUGACGCNGCUACGCAUAAGUACACUCCGCCGUGGGUAGGUACGGUCGCGAGAAUUAAACUUAAAUAGAGUUAGUACGGCGUGAGACGUGCCGACGGACGACGACGAGGGAGGUUAGG
rnacentral:rRNA from 1 species